rnacentral:tRNA from 2 species
AAAAAGAUAAGCUAAUUAAGCUAAUGGGUUCAUACCCCAUAUAUAAAGGUUUAAUCCUUUUCUUUUUA